UACAGAGGUCCCAAGCGUUGUUCGGAUUCACUGGGCGUAAAGGGUGCGUAGGCGGUCGGGUAAGUCUGAUGUGAAGUCUCACAGCUUAACUGUGAAACUGCAUUGGAUACUAUCCGGCUAGAGGAAUGGAGGGGAGACUGGAAUACUUGGUGUAGCAGUGAAAUGCGUAGAUAUCAAGUGGAACACCAGUGGCGAAGGCGAGUCUCUGGACAUUUCCUGACGCUGAGGCACGAAAGCCAGGGGAGCAAACGGG
rnacentral:rRNA from 1 species